GACGAACGCUGGCGGCGUGCUUAACACAUGCGAGUCGAACGGAAAGGCCCUGCUUUUGUGGGGUGCUCGAGUGGCGAACGGGUGAGUAACACGUGAGUAACCUGCCCUUGACUUUGGGAUAACUUCAGGAAACUGGGGCUAAUACCGGAUAGGAGCUCCUGCUGCAUGGUGGGGGUUGGAAAGUUUCGGCGGUUGGGGAUGGACUCGCGGCUUAUCAGCUUGUUGGUGGGGUAGUGGCUUACCAAGGCUUUGACGGGUAGCCGGCCUGAGAGGGUGACCGGCCACAUUGGGACUGAGAUACGGCCCAGACUCCUACGGGAGGCAGCAGUGGGGAAUAUUGCACAAUGGGCGGAAGCCUGAUGCAGCAACGCCGCGUGCGGGAUGACGGCCUUCGGGUUGUAAACCGCUUUCGCCUGUGACGAAGCGUGAGUGACGGUACUGGGUAAAGAAGCACCGGCUAACUACGUG
rnacentral:rRNA from 1 species